AACGAACGCUGGCGGCAGGCCUAACACAUGCAAGUCGAGCGAAGCCUUCGGGCUUAGCGGCGGACGGGUGAGUAACGCGUGGGAACGUGCCCUUUGGUACGGAAUAGCCCCGGGAAACUGGGAGUAAUACCGUAUGUGGUCGAGAGACGAAAGAUUUAUCGCCAAAGGAUCGGCCCGCGUUGGUUUAGGUAGUUGGUGGGGUAAUGGCCUACCAAGCGGACGAUCCAUAGCUGGUUUGAGAGGAUGAUCAGCCACACUGGGACUGAGACGCGGCCGAGACUCCUACGGGAGGCAGCAGUGGGGAAUCUUAGACAGUGGGGGAAACCUUGAUCUAGUCAUGCCGCGUGAGCGAUGAAGGCCUUAAGGUUGUAAAGCUCUUUCAGUAGGGACGAUAAUGACGGUACCUACAGAAGAAGCCCCGGCUAACUUCGUGCCAGCCGCCGCGGUAAAAC
rnacentral:rRNA from 1 species